GGAGAGCCAGUGUAGGGCUGUGCAAUUAAUCGAAAUUUAAUCGAGAUUAUGAUUUCGGCUCCCAGUGAUCACAAAAACAGAAUCAUCAAGAAAAACAAUUAUUUAGCUCAUUACGUUUUGCAAGUAAACUCUUAUUUUUUCUUGUGUUCUGAAUG